CCUUCGGGUACAAUUGAGACAGGUGGUGCAUGGUUGUCGUCAGCUCGUGUCGUGAGAUGUUGGGUUAAGUCCCGCAACGAGCGCAACCCUUGUGUUUAGUUGCAAACAGGUCAAGCUGUGCACUCUAGACAGACUGCCGUGGACAACACGGAGGAAGGUGGGGAUGACGUCAAAUCAUCAUGCCCCUUAUGAUCUGGGCUACACACGUGCUACAAUGGCCGGUACAACGGGCAGCGAAGGAGCGAUCCGGAGCGAAUCCUAAAAAGCCGGUCCCAGUUCGGAUUGCAGGCUGAAACUCGCCUACAUGAAGUUGGAGUUGCUAGUAAUCGCGAAUCAGAAUGUCGCGGUGAAUGCGUUCCCGGGUCUU
rnacentral:rRNA from 1 species